rnacentral:rRNA from 1 species
UACGUAGGGUGCGAGCGUUAAUCGGAAUUACUGGGCGUAAAGCGUGCGCAGGCGGUUUUGUAAGCCGGAUGUGAAAUCCCCGGGCUUAACCUGGGAAUGGCAUUCGGGACUGCAAGGCUGGAGUGCGGCAGAGGAGACUGGAAUUCCUGGUGUAGCAGUGAAAUGCGUAGAUAUCAGGAGGAACACCGAUGGCGAAGGCAGGUCUCUGGGCUGACAC